UGGAGGUGAAAUGAGUGAAGUAAGGCAGG
rnacentral:piRNA from 1 species